AGUGUAAUUUACCCAAAACCGUUCAACGUGAUUCGCCAACAUCUUUGGCCAGCUUACAGACAGCGAGGAAUAAGAUCUCAACCAAACGGUGUACUGAGCCGUCUAUUCGCUGACUCUCGGCCGUUAAAAUCUAAUUUCCUUCCUCAGAAUUCGUUUUCUCUAUGUUAGUUUGUGGUGACUGGUGAGCUCCGAUGGCACUCUGUUUUUCUGCUCUCUCCCUCACAACCUCACCCCAAUUUUCCCACGCAACUCUCCGCUCUUCCAAAUUGCACCUCUCUCCGACCUCAUUGUUUAUUUUCGGCUAUUUUACAGAGACAAAAGCCUCUCACUGGGGAAGGCUAAGAACCAGAGCUCUGAGAGAAUGGAAAGAAUACGAAGAUGCAGUGAAGGAAAAGGACCUCGCACGAGCUCUCAGACUCCUAAAGUCACUUGAAAGUUUAUCUGUCGAAUCUUCUUCUUCUUCCUUGAUUUCUUCAGUUUCUUCUCCGGGUAAUGGUCUAGACUUGUUUCAGUCCGAGAGGGAUUGGGAAGUCUUGGAUACCUGCUUGAAUGCGGACGAUAUGAAGCUUGUGGGUAGUGCUUAUGCGUUUCUUAGGGACAGAGGAUUCUUGCCCAGUUUCGGAAAAUGCAGGAACAUUGUUUUAGAGGGACCAAGAGAUGUUACUCCAACAGUUUUGAAGUCUUCCACUGGUUUGGAAGUGUCUAAGCUUUCUCCAAAGAAGUGGGGUCUUUCUGGAAGCUCUAGUUUUGUUCUUGUUGUUUUUCUUGGUGGAAUAUCCUAUUUACUCUCUCAAGGAAUAGAUAUUAGACCUAACCUUGCAGCUAUAUUAGGGCUAGCCAUGCUAGACUCUAUUUUCCUUGGGGGUUGCUGUUUGGCUCAAAUUUCAAGCUAUUGGCCUCCAUAUAGGCGCCGAAUUCUAGUACAUGAAGCAGGACAUCUUCUUACAGCAUACCUUCUGGGCUGCCCGAUUCGUGGGGUGAUUUUAGAUCCAAUUGUUGCAAUGCAAAUGGGCAUCCAAGGGCAGGCAGGAACUCAGUUUUGGGAUGAGAAGUUGGAAAAUGAACUUGCGGAAGGCCGACUUAGCACUGCUGCUUUUGACAGGUACUGCAUGGUCCUUUUUGCUGGAAUUGCAGCUGAGGCUCUUGUCUAUGGAGAGGCCGAGGGUGGAGAAAAUGAUGAAAACCUGUUUAGAAGCAUCAGUGUUCUUCUGCAACCUCCAUUGUCUAUUGCAGAGAUGUCAAACCAAGCAAGGUGGUCAGUUCUACAGUCUUAUAAUCUUCUGAAGUGGCAUAAGCAUGCACAUCGAGCUGCUGUUAAAGCUCUAGAAAGUGGCGGCAGUCUUAGUGUUGUCAUUAGGAGUAUUGAAGAAGCUAUGGCUUCUGCGAGAUAAACUGGGAGUGGAACGCAUGCAUCAAGGUUUUAUCACCUAACACAUGUAAGGAUGGAUAGGGGUCAGAUUGCAUACACUUCAUACCUCUUUGCCAAUACAGCGGGAGACUGAUCUAUUUUGGAAAUAUUCUUCAUGCUUCACUCAUGUAAAUACAUUCUAUCUUGUGAGUCCUAUAGGAACUGAAUCCACAGAUGGAAGUCGACAAAAUGCUAUAGAUAAGAAACAAGUAGAACUUACAUUGGAGAGUUCCUUGGAACCCAAGCAUGGAAGAACCUGCGCACCUUGGGUUGAGAUAUUGUGUUGUUGCCAGGGAUGGAUAGGGUGUUUUGUACGUUGCAAUUCUGAGAGGAAUUAUAAUUGACUGUGUUGAAAUAAAAAUGUACAUUAUGUGCAAGUGUAUUCAUACUUUAUACUAAUAGAAGUCUACCACUCCAGUGGUGAAUUGUGAACCUGGGUGAAUUUUGAUCAUUCUCCCAUGGGUAUGUUAUUGGAUUUUUGGCCUUUUGCUUGCAACAA